AUGGCGGCGGCGGCGGCGAGGCAGCGGAAGGAGGAGGAGGACGAGAUGCUGCUGGACGACGGCGACAUCGAGGAGAGCCCCCGCGACAGCUUCCGCGACUCCGACGACGAGGGGGAGGAGGAGGGGCGGGGCGAGGACGGCGACGGGGUCGGCUCCUUCGAGUCGCACCAGUGGCCGCAGAGUUACCGGGAAACAACUGACACCUACACAAUUGCCGCGUCUCCCAUCUUCGGUUACCUUGGUCCUUCAACCAGCAAAUACUCAAUCGAUGGUGGCCGCAGUGGCCUGGCUUCUGACCUCAGGCUGCCUUUCAUCUCGGAUAAGCUAGAAUCUGUCAAGAGCCUGCGGCGACAUCUUCUUGGUUCAGUCAGAGAUGAGAAGCUCUCAUUUCAGUAUACUGGAGAGAUCUACGUCGGUCAAGGGUGCAGCGUAACACAGACAGUCUUCAAUGGUGUUAACGUACUCGCUGGUGUUGGCCUUCUUUCUGCUCCGUUCACAAUUCAUGAAGCUGGAUGGGCUGGUCUUGCAGUUCUGUCUGUUUUUGCAAUUAUUUGCUGUUAUACUGGAGUUCUUCUCAAGCAUUGUUUCGAGAGCAAAGACGGUAUUGCAACCUAUCCAGACAUCGGGGAGGCCGCCUUUGGAAGAAUUGGCCGCUUGAUCAUAUCUAUUAUUUUGUAUACUGAGUUAUAUUCAUACUGCGUGGAAUUCAUUAUACUGGAAGGUGAUAAUAUGACAUCAAUCUUUCCUGACGUCAAUAUUAAUUUGUUUGGGAUUCAUGUCGACAGUAAACAUUUCUUUGGAGUGUUAACUGCACUGGUAGUCCUGCCCACAGUAUGGCUGCGAGAUCUGCGAGUGCUAUCAUACCUUUCAGCCGGUGGUGUGAUUGCAACUCUUGUGGUGUUUAUAUCUGUCGCUUUAGUCGGCACCACUGAAGGUGUAGGGUUCCAUCAGACCGGGGAAGCAGUAAAGUGGAGUGGCAUGCCCUUUGCUAUUGGUAUUUACGGUUUCUGCUACUCUGGGCAUUCGGUAUUUCCUAAUAUCUACCAAUCAAUGUCUGAUCGCACAAAAUUCCCUAAGGCACUUUUCAUAUGCUUCAUAGUUUGCACAGCGAUAUAUGGCUCGUUCGCUAUUAUUGGCUAUCUCAUGUUUGGUGACAAGACUCUGUCGCAAAUAACUUUGAAUCUUCCAAAAGAGUCAUUUGCCUCGAAAGUUGCUCUGUGGACCACGGUGAUCAACCCUUUCACCAAAUUUGCCUUGUUGUUAAACCCAUUGGCUCGGAGUUUAGAAGAGUUGCGCCCUGAAGGAUUUUUGAACGAAACAAUCGUCUCUAUUAUACUGAGGACGAGCCUUGUGGCGUCAACUGUUGUCAUUGCAUUUCUUCUUCCAUUCUUCGGUUUGGUGAUGGCUCUGAUUGGAUCCCUGCUCAGUAUACUUGUGGCAAUCAUAAUGCCCGCCUUGUGCUUCUUGAAGAUCACACAGAAUAAAGCCACACGUACGCAGGUGAUUGCAAGCGUCGUUAUAAUAGUGGUUGGAGUCAUCAGUGCCACCCUCGGAACGUACUCCUCGGUGGCCAGCAUAAUCGGAUACUAUUGA
rnacentral:rRNA from 1 species